UACGUAGGGUGCGAGCGUUGUCCGGAAUCACUGGGCGUAAAGGGCGCGUAGGCGGUCUGGUAAGCGUGUGGUGAAAGCCCGGGGCUCAACCCCGGGUCGGCCAUGCGAACUGCGAGACUGGAGCCGAUCAGAGGCAGGCGGAAUUCCGGGUGUAGCGGUGGAAUGCGUAGAGAUCCGGAAGAACACCGGUGGCGAAGGCAGCCUGCUGGGAUCGAGCUGACGCUGAGGCGCGACAGCGUGGGGAGCAAACAGG
rnacentral:rRNA from 1 species